rnacentral:rRNA from 1 species
UACGGAGGAUGCAAGCGUUAUCCGGAAUUAUUGGGCGUAAAGCGUCCGCAGGUGGCAAUGUAAGUCUGCUGUUAAAGAGUCUAGCUCAACUAGAUAAGAGCAGUGGAAACUACAUAGCUAGAGUACGUUCGGGGCAGAGGGAAUUCCUGGUGUAGCGGUGAAAUGCGUAGAGAUCAGGAAGAACACCAGUGGCGAAGGCGCUCUGCUAGGCCGUAACUGACACUGAGGUGCGAAAGCGUGGGGAGCGAACGGG